GAUUGAAGAACGCAGCGAAAUGCGAUAAGUAAUGUGAAUUGCAGAAUUCAGUGAAUCAUCGAAUCUUUGAACGCACAUUGCGCCCGGUAGUAAUCUGCCGGGCAUGCCUGUCCGAGCGUCAUUUCAACCCUCGAACCACUAUUCGCGUAGCUGGAUCGGUGUUGGGGCACUACGGUGGAAUACCCGUAGGCCCCGAAAUGAAGUGGCGGUCCCGCCGCGGCGCCCCCAUGCGUAGUAACAUCUCGUCUCGCAUCGGGUCCCGGCGGAGGCCUGCCGUCAAGCCUAUUUUCUAAUUACAGAUGGUUUGACCUCGGAUCAGGUAGGGUUACCCGCUGAACUUAAGCAUAUCAAUAAGCGGAGGA
rnacentral:misc_RNA from 1 species